UACAUAGGGGGCAAGCGUUGUUCGGAAUUACUGGGCGUAAAGGGCGCGUAGGCGGCCUGUUAAGUCGGACGUGAAAUCCCCGGGCUCAACCCGGGAACUGCGUCCGAUACUGGCAGGCUUGAAUCCGGGAGAGGGAUGCGGAAUUCCAGGUGUAGCGGUGAAAUGCGUAGAUAUCUGGAGGAACACCGGUGGCGAAGGCGGCAUCCUGGACCGGCAUUGACGCUGAGGCGCGAAAGCCAGGGGAGCAAACGGG
rnacentral:rRNA from 1 species